UACGUAGGGCGCAAGCGUUGUCCGGCAUUAUUGGGCGUAAAGAGCUCGUAGGCGGCUUGUCACGUCGGGUGUGAAAGCCCGGGGCUUAACCCCGGGUCUGCAUUCGAUACGGGCAGGCUAGAGUGUGGUAGGGGAGAUCGGAAUUCCUGGUGUAGCGGUGAAAUGCGCAGAUAUCAGGAGGAACACCGGUGGCGAAGGCGGAUCUCUGGGCCAUUACUGACGCUGAGGAGCGAAAGCGUGGGGAGCGAACAGG
rnacentral:rRNA from 1 species